CAUUGCCCAAGUUCGGAGCGGGAUGAAGAGAGCUUGCUCUCUGAUUCAGCGGCGGACGGGUGAGUAAUGCCUAGGAAUCUGCCUGGUAGUGGGGGACAACGUUUCGAAAGGAACGCUAAUACCGCAUACGUCCUACGGGAGAAAGCAGGGGACCUUCGGGCCUUGCGCUAUCAGAUGAGCCUAGGUCGGAUUAGCUAGUUGGUGGGGUAAUGGCUCACCAAGGCGACGAUCCGUAACUGGUCUGAGAGGAUGAUCAGUCACACUGGAACUGAGACACGGUCCAGACUCCUACGGGAGGCAGCAGUGGGGAAUAUUGGACAAUGGGCGAAAGCCUGAUCCAGCCAUGCCGCGUGUGUGAAGAAGGUCUUCGGAUUGUAAAGCACUUUAAGUUGGGAGGAAGGGUUGUAGAUUAAUACUCUGCAAUUUUGACGUUACCGACAGAAUAAGCACCGGCUAACUCUGUGCCAGCAGCCGCGGUAAUACAGAGGGUGCAAGCGUUAAUCGGAAUUACUGGGCGUAAAGCGCGCGUAGGUGGUUUGUUAAGUUGGAUGUGAAAUCCCCGGGCUCAACCUGGGAACUGCAUUCAAAACUGACAAGCUAGAGUAUGGUAG
rnacentral:rRNA from 1 species